AUAGUCUGUCUGUCUGUCUCCCGUAACGAUAGUCUGUCUGUCUGGCUCCUGUAACGAUGGUCUGUCUGUCUGUCGGGCUCCCAUAACGAUGGUCUGUCUGGCUCCCAUAACAAUGGUCUGUCUAGCUCCCAUAACGAUGGUCUGUCUAGCUCCCAUAACGAUGGUCUGUCUGGCUCCCAUAACGAUGGUCUGUCUGGCUCCCAUAACGAUGGUCUGUAUGGCUCCCAUAACGAUGGUCUGUCUGGCUCCCAUAACGAUGGUCUGUCUGGCUCCCAUAACGAUGGUCUGUCUGUCUGUCUGUCUGUCUGUCUGUCUGUCUGUCUGUCUGUCUGUCUGUCUGGUGCUGCUGUGUUCUAGCCUUAACAUUCCAAGGAGGGUCAUGUGGACCCGCUGAGUAGCAUUCUGGGUAAUUUAGGACUGUGUCUGUGUCAACUAACCUCAGCCCAUGUCAUGUCUCAUAAAUCGCCAGGGGAAGAAGAAUACUAAUAAAAAUAUCCGCAAGGCAAGAGAUGGUGUCCCUGUUAAGAUUUACCUUAAGCUAAACAACGGGAAAUCCUUCUACAAAAAAAAAAAGUAAAAUAAAUCAAUUUAAAUAAUUGUUUUGAAGUUUACAAUCUUAACAAAAAGCAGAACUAUUCAAGUCUAUAUCCUAAAUGAUUGUCAAGAUUCUUUAAAGACAAAGAAAAAGUUACUUCAUAUUUUGGUCAUUUGUUCUUUUUUCUAGAAGAGAAGAAAAGUCAUGUGAAAACCUCACUGGGUUUUUGUACCACUAUAAUCAGACAAGAAAUCAGAAUCAUAUUUACUGUGUAUUUACUUCACUUCUUAUUACGUGCCUUAUGAUGUAAUGUGUUCAUAAUCAAUAGGUUUUAGACCGUGUCUGUCUAUCAAAUCGCAUCCUAUCCCCUAUAUGAUGCAUUCAUUUAAAGUAGUGCACUAGAUAGGGAAUAGGGUGUAAUUUGAGACGGACACUAUCUCAUGUACUAUCUAUCUGGUGACAGAUUUGAUUCAUGUAGAGAACUGUGUUUUAUAUGUUGGCUGUAUUAUAUGAUAUUUUUGAAAUGGAAGUUAAUGUUUGGUGCUUUGAGUGCACGUCUUAGAGAAAUGAACAGGAAACUCUGAAAUACCACAGUGUGUGUGUACCGUGGGCCUCUCUAUCCCUGUAGCUGUUCCAACACAUUUAUCAGAAUAAUUAUUUCAAAAUUUGAAGACUUAUUCAAAGUCUUACACUUAUUUGGGACUUGGAUGUACGCAUGUAUGACGUGUUGUUACUCGCUUGAGGUUUUCACAUUCUAAACAGUUUUAUUAGCUCUUUGUCCAGCAGUUCUACAGCAGCAUCCUCAAAAUGUCUUGUUAUGCAAAUGGACCUCGGUGGUAUUUUUAUUUUUUACAUUUUUCUUUACAAUCUAUUGAAGAAAAUACUGACUUGCUUAACAAAUCCGGUGAGGUCCAAAAAAAAAAAGGGCUUAGGUUUCUACAGUAAAAGUGAAGCCAGUUUCUACAGUAGAAGUGAAGCCAUUUCCUACAGUAGAAGUGAAAUCUGUUUCAACAGUAGAAGUGAAGCCAGUUUCUACAGUAGAAGUGAAGCCAGUUUCUACAGUAGAAGUGAACUGUUCUUAUAGUAUGUUUGUAGUGAGCUGAUUACACAAUACACAUUGAGGGACAAUCAGUGGUAGUGUUUCACUCAAUGACUGGAAGAUGCUUGGAUACCAAAUGGUACCCUAUUCCCUAUAUAGUGCACUGCUGUUGACUGGUUGUCAGUUCAUUGUAAAAUCCACCUGGAUAGAUAGGCUAUGUACGUCAGUAACGUAGGGUAUAAUGUUAUUCUAUGUGAUACGUACGUUACCUCGGUUCAUUAUCUGAUGUUGAGGCCCACAACACCCUCUCAGGUCAUUUCAGGUUUUCCUCCAUUUUGCUGUUUUUUGAGUGAAGCUGUUUAGAAAAUCUCCCAUCUUGUUUUGUUUUUUUAGCUGUAAUCUUAUUCGACUUGUUUCUCGUAUGAUUCUUUUGAGGGUAUUUUUCAUUUGAUCUGCAGUGAUGACGUGUGUUUAAUUAGAAUAUUUUUCUUUAAAAAAGGUCAAAACUGGUAA